GGACCGUUAGCUCAGUUGGUAGAGCAAUUGACUCUUAAUCAAUGGGUCACAGGUUCAAAUCCUGUACGGUUCACCA
rnacentral:tRNA from 5 species